rnacentral:rRNA from 1 species
UUUAUUGGAGAGUUUGAUCCUGGCUCAGGACGAACGCUGGCGGCGUGCCUAAUACAUGCAAGUCGAGCG